GCGGUGGAGCAUGUGGUUUAAUUCGACGCAACGCGAAGAACCUUACCAGGGCUUGACACUCCCUGACCGCGUAUGAAAGUACGUUUUCACCCUCGGGUGACAGGGAGACAGGUGGUGCAUGGUUGUCGUCAGCUCGUGUCGUGAGAUGUUGGGUUAAGUCCCGCAACGAGCGCAACCCCUACGUUUAGUUGCUAACGCGUGAAGGCGAGCACUCUAGACGAACUGCCGUUGACAAAACGGAGGAAGGUGGGAUGACGUCAAAUCAUCAUGCCCCUUAUGUUCUGGGCUACACACGUGCUACAAUGGCCGGUACAGACGGACGCAAAGCCGCGAGGCGGAGCAAAUCCUAAAAAGCCGGUCUCAGUUCGGAUUGCAGGCUGCAAUUCGCCUGCAUGAAGUCGGAAUCGCUAGUAAUCGCAGGUCAGCAUACUGCGGUGAAUACGUUCCCGGGCCUU
rnacentral:rRNA from 1 species